GGAUGUGAGGGCAAUCUAUCUGAUCUCUGUGACUCCAUUGAUCACCAGAGCUAGUUUUGUUAAUCUGGCUGGUGUUCAUCCCUCACCACACAGGUGCAUCUCUCUGGAAGCCACACAGGACCAUUUUAUAGAGCAGGCUCACUGUAAGGGAUGUGAGCGUUGGUGAUGUGAGUAAUGGAAUACAUGCUUGACAUGCUGGAGACCCAAGGUUCACCCUGGUGCCAGAUAGGCAAACACAAAACACCAAGCAAAACCCUAAACCACGAGUGAACCUAA
rnacentral:sRNA from 14 species